rnacentral:rRNA from 1 species
CCUGGUUGAUCCUGCCAGUAGUCAUAUGCUUGUCUCAAAGAUUAAGCCAUGCAUGUGUAAGUAUGAACAAAUUCAGACUGUGAAACUGCGAAUGGCUCAUUAAAUCAGUUACAGUUUGUUUGAAGGUAUUUGCUACUCGGAUAACCAUAGUAAUUCUAGAGCUAAUACGUGCAACAAACCCGAACUUCUAGAAGGGAUGCAUUUAUUAGAUAAAAGGUCGACGCAAACUUUACCCGUUGCUCUGAUGAUUCAUGAUAACUUGACGGAUCGCACGGCCUUUCUGCCGGUGACACAUCAUUCAAAUUUCUACCCUAUCAACUUUCGAUCGUAGGAUAGUGGCCUACUAUGGUGGUGAUGGGUGAUAGAGAAUUAGGGUUUGAUUUCGGAGAGGGAGUCUGAGAAAUGGCUACCACAUCCAAAGAAGGCAACAGGCGCGCAAAUUACCCAAUCCUGACACGGGGAGGUAGUGACAAUAAAUAAUAAUACCGGGCUCUAUGAGUCUGGUAAUUAGAAUGAGAACAAUCUAAAUCCCUUAACGAGGAUCUAUUAGAGGGCAAGUCUGGUUCCAGCAGUCAUGGUAAUUCCAGCUCCAAUAGCGUAUAUUUAAGUUGUUGCAGUUAAAAAGCUCGUAGUUAGACUUAGGGGUAAGUCGACCGGUCCGCCUCAUUGUGAGCAUCGGUCUGAUCGUCCCUAUUAGCGACGAUGCCCUCCUGGCCUUAAUUGGUCGGGUCGUUCCUAUUAGAGUUCUCAAGUAUGCCUACGCUUGUAUACAUUGGCCUUAAUUGUGUUGGCCUUCGGGAUUGGAGUAAUAAUUAAUAGGGACAGUUGGGGGCAUUCGUAUUUCAUAGUCAGAGGUGAAAUUCUUGGAUUUAUGAAAGACGAACAACUGCGAAAGCAUUUGUCAAGGAUGUUUUCAUUAAUCAAGAAUGAAAGUUUGGGGCUCGAAGACGAUCACAUACCAUCCUAGUCUCAACCAUAAACGAUGGUGAUCAGGGAUCGACGGAUGUUGCUUUUAGGACUCCGUCGGAACCUUAUGACAAAUCAAAGUCUUUGGGUUCCGGGGGAGUAUUCUCUUUCUCACAACUUUUCUCACACACUCUCUUUUUAUUUCUUAUCUUUUCCCUCAUUUCUUUUUUCUUCUCUCAAUCUCCUUUUAUUUUUCUUUCAUUUUCUUUCAUAAAAAUUUUCUCUCUCUCUUUUCUCAAUUUCUUUUUCUUCACAUUUCACUUUUUUUUAUCAAAUGUGGUUAAAUGACAGAAUCCGAACGAAUGAACUUUCUUUGCGUAUGAACACAAAUGAUUGUCAAGGAAGGCACAUCUUUCCUUUCUUGGUUGCAAAUUCAUAGAUGGAUACCCUGGAACGCAUGAGGUAACAUUUGUGUAAUUAUUACGUGUACUUUCAUCUUUUCACUUGGGAGUUUUCAAACUUGUGGUCCACUUUACUUUAGCUUGAA